AUUGAACGCUGGCGGCAUGCUUUACACAUGCAAGUCGAACGGUAACAGGCCGCAAGGUGCUGACGAGUGGCGAACGGGUGAGUAAUGCAUCGGAACGUGCCCAGUCGUGGGGGAUAACUACUCGAAAGAGUAGCUAAUACCGCAUACGAUCUAUGGAUGAAAGCGGGGGACCGGAAGGCCUCGCGCGAUUGGAGCGGCCGAUGUCAGAUUAGGUAGUUGGUGGGGUAAAGGCUCACCAAGCCAACGAUCUGUAGCUGGUCUGAGAGGACGACCAGCCACACUGGGACUGAGACACGGCCCAGACUCCUACGGGAGGCAGCAGUGGGGAAUUUUGGACAAUGGGCGCAAGCCUGAUCCAGCAAUGCCGCGUGCAGGAAGAAGGCCUUCGGGUUGUAAACUGCUUUUGUACGGAACGAAACGGCUCUGGUUAAUACCCGGGGCUAAUGACGGUACCGUAAGAAUAAGCACCGGCUAACUACGUG
rnacentral:rRNA from 1 species